CCAUCGUUAGCCAGAUACCUCGCAGCUGAUUUCAGAGCAAAGGCCAUGAGCGCAAACCAUUUUGCUGUUGCUCCUGUUUUUCAGAGAAAGCCCCUGAAUUGAGAAGGUCUCCUGGAGGUAACAGAGUUAUGUUGGUCAAAGAAGAUUAGAAAUGGAAGAAGAGAGUGAAGGGAGGACCCAGGAGGUUUCUCUCUGUGCUCCCGUCCACUGCUAGGAGGCAAUCUCUGUGAAAAGUUGUGGCAUCUAGCAAGAACAUGUGAGAGAUAUAAAAAAAAAAAAAAGUAGUCCGUGAAGGAGUUUCUUUGCACAGUUCUGUGGACUCUUUUAAAAGAGCUAUUGAAUGGAGCUGUCUGCUGACUGGUGAGAUUGAUCGUUUGAACUGUGCCCCCCCCUCAGUAGCCCACCUCUGAUUAAGGGAGUCAGGUAUCUUGGUGCUGGCUGACAGUAUAACUCUUUAAGGUGACUGCUGCAUGCAUCAUCAAACCAAAGAACCACCCUUCUCAAAGAACUGAAGGAAUGUAUUCAUGCCAGUGUCUUCAGCUAUUUUUCUUGUGCGACGCAUUCAAAUACCCAGGCACAAAGAAGAGAAGGGCCAGCCAAAAGUACAGCUGAGCUUUUGACGUUGUCCCUGCGCGGAUAAAUCCAUAGAAAGAAAAGCAUAUUUUUGUGGUGAUCAGAUUAGCUUGUAUACUUUGAUAAGGUGCUAAGGGCCAAUAGAUAAUAGAGUUGCGGGAUGUUCCUUGUCACAUUGCACUGUAAUAAAAAUGUAUUUAUAUGAUCCCAUGCAUACUAUAGUUCACAGUGCUGUCAAGUUGCAUUGCCAGUUAUAACUUACUACGCUUCUUUGCCAAGUUUUACUAUAACACCAUAGGUAUCAAUAUCCUAGAUGCAGCUCUAUGAUAUGCUAAUCUCACUCCUAGAAUAACAUACUUUAUAAGGUUUCACAUAAGAAAACUUCAGGGAAGGGAAAACAACUAAAAAUGAAUAGGAAUCUCAAAUGCAGGGUUCACUUUAGUAUUUAUGUAAAACAUUAAUCUCAAUAGGAUUCUUGGAGACAAGAAAACAUGGGUUAUUUAAUAAAAUGCCAUCUCUGCUAAAUAAUUAAUUACAUGGGAUAUUUCUACUUGCUGAAGUGUGUGUGUGUGUGUUUAAGCAGCUUCAUGUACAAAUAGUUCAAAUUUUGACAAUGCAGAGAGUACGAUCAGGGUAGACUUUCUGGACCUGUAUGCUCUAUAUCUAGGGGGCAAGCCCCAGGUUGUCCUUGGAGAAUAAAAGCACACAGUGACAAGAGGUGUCAGGUGAUCUGUAGAACUGCCAGAGUGAUAAGCAAAGCUAAGAUCCUCUGCUUUUUUUUAUGAAAUCCAACUUUCCAACCCAUCCCUUGAAGAUGCCACAGGUGCAAAGCUUCUGGGCCUGCCUCCACAUCCAUAGGGGAAUUGGUGUUUAAUUAGAAGUGUCUGUGGAGGAGACGAGGAGAAAGGUGCAAGAUAUUCAUUCAGAUAUCCCCUACCUUGAUUGCACUUAGUGCCAUCAUGACUAUACAGUGGUGGAAUGGGGUUCAAGGAUAUUUCAGCUUUGUACUCCUAAGGAGGUCUGGGCACUUGAAUAGCAGCAGUGGGACUAAAAGGGGUAGAGCACAUGCCUGGAUCUUCUGUGUUUUAACAGAGACAUUGCAGACACGAACAAAUGCAGCCAAAGCUAUUUCUGACUUCCUAUUCCUGAAUCCUUCUCACCCUUGUAGUUCUGGAACCAGCAGUGAGAAUGCAUAAAUAGCUGUGUAUGAAAGGCUGCUCACAUUAUGUUCCCAUUUGGGACCAGAAGUGCUUGAAAGCUAAUGAGAACACAGGAGAAUUGUGGAGUCACACUUAGGCCCCAAUUGUUUAGAAAUCACAAACAGAAAUAAUUUUGUUCAGGAAAUGGGAUUGACUGGAAAUGUGGAUAGCAUAGAAGAGUUAUGCCAUGUGAUACAGCUUAGGCAAUGAAUCUGGAUGAGGCUUGCUUAAAGCAAUCCUGCCAGCCAAUAGCCUGAAGAAAUUCAGCGAGUUUGUACAGUGUACUAAAAGCCAGAUCCUAAUCCCCUUAAGCACACUGGAUUAUAAUAUCCUGUCCCACAAGUGGUCCCAAAGAAGUCAGUGGGGGAUCAUUUGUUGGAUAAAACGAUGCACUGUAUUAGCAAAGAAAUCAGCUGAACAGUUUUGAAUAGUGACUAUAGGAGCAUAACAUUGCAUUUCUUCUCAGCUAAUUGACAGAUUGGAAGAAGGCCUAAAUUAGACGAAUAAAUUGUCCUUUGUAAAUUGAUAGUCCCUCUUUAAUAUGAACAGGUCAGCCUAUUUUUGAGAUGUUUACUAUUAAGAUUCCUCCUGGUAUAGGGACUCUACCAGAACCUGUACUGGUCUUCGUAUCAGACGGGAUUUUCUACCCCCCCCCCCACUAUAAAUUCGAAAGGAGAAACAGCAGAAGCCAGACAAAUGUUUGCUUUCCUUUUUGAUGUACAGUCUCACAAAGCAGUACAACA